rnacentral:rRNA from 1 species
CACGGGGGGAGCAAGCGUUGUUCGGAAUCACUGGGCGUAAAGGGCGUGCAGGCGGUCAGGUAAGUGGGAUGUGAAAUGCCCCGGCUCACCCGGGGACCGGCAUCUCAUACUGCUUGGCUUGAGUACGGGAGAGGAUGUGGGAAUUCCUGGUGUAGCGGUGAAAUGCGUAGAUAUCUGGAGGAAUACCGGUGGCGAAGGCAGCAUCCUGGACCGGCAUUGACGCUGAAGCGCGAAAGCUAGGGGAGCAAACGGG